rnacentral:tRNA from 1 species
GCAUCCAUAGCUCAAUGGACAGAGCAUUGGUCUUCUAAACCAAGUGUUGUGAGUUCGAGUCUCACUGGAUGCA